rnacentral:rRNA from 1 species
GAUGAACGCUGGCGGCGUGCCUAAUACAUGCAAGUCGAGCGAACAGACGAGGAGCUUGCUCCUCUGACGUUAGCGGCGGACGGGUGAGUAACACGUGGAUAACCUACCUAUAAGACUGGGAUAACUUCGGGAAACCGGAGCUAAUACCGGAUAAUAUAUUGAACCGCAUGGUUCAAUAGUGAAAGACGGUUUUGCUGUCACUUAUAGAUGGAUCCGCGCCGCAUUAGCUAGUUGGUAAGGUAACGGCUUACCAAGGCGACGAUGCGUAGCCGACCUGAGAGGGUGAUCGGCCACACUGGAACUGAGACACGGUCCAGACUCCUACGGGAGGCAGCAGUAGGGAAUCUUCCGCAAUGGGCGAAAGCCUGACGGAGCAACGCCGCGUGAGUGAUGAAGGUCUUCGGAUCGUAAAACUCUGUUAUUAGGGAAGAACAAAUGUGUAAGUAACCAUGCACGUCUUGACGGUACCUAAUCAGAAAGCCACGGCUAACUACGUG